rnacentral:rRNA from 1 species
CAGCAGCCGCGGUAAUACGUAGGGGGCAAGCGUUGUCCGGAAUCAUUGGGCGUAAAGCGCGUGUAGGCGGCUCGAUAAGUCUGCUGUGAAAGUCCAGGGCUCAACCCUGGAAUGCCGGUGGAAACUGUCGAGCUCGAGUCCGGAAGAGGCAAGUGGAAUUCCUGGUGUAGCGGUGAAAUGCGCAGAUAUCAGGAGGAACACCAAUGGCGAAGGCAGCUUGCUGGGACGGUACUGACGCUGAGACGCGAAAGCGUGGGGAGCAAACAGGAUUAGAUACCCCAGUAGUCCCUGUCUCUUAUAC